rnacentral:misc_RNA from 1 species
CUGAAUUUGUAAUGAAGCUUCUCCAGUAUGUUGCUCUUUUCCAGGGAAACAAGUGAGGCAAGAACUUGUGACGAUGCAAUGAAUCAUCAUCAUCAUUCAACAACUGAGCACUCCGUUGAGUCCAGACCAAANNNNNUUAAAGGUUUAUGUGUCUUGGUCACAGCUUUUCGAGAUCGUCUCUUACUCGAGCUUCUGCUGGAGGUAAUGUUAUGAGGAGCUUGCCCCUCAGGAUUUACACUUUCU